UCCGAUUGAUCGUCUCCAUUUCUCCCAGGAGCCAUGCGAUCGCCUACUUCAGAGGUUUCUUUACCCAUCCAGAUCACGGCAAGGUUCUGGCAAUAACUUCACAAAAGCAAGUUGGAGUCAGCAGUUCCUGUCAUGGCAGAGCUUUCGUCUACACACGUGCAUUCUUCUCAGUCCUGGGGUAGAUAUCAAAGCUCCAGCUGCAGUGUUCACAAAGAGAGAGUUCGAGGUCAGCCUG
rnacentral:lncRNA from 1 species